UACGUAGGGUGCAAGCGUUGUCCGGAAUUAUUGGGCGUAAAGAGCUCGUAGGCGGUCUGUCGCGUCGGCUGUGAAAACUCGGGGCUCAACCCCGAGCCUGCAGUCGAUACGGGCAGACUAGAGUGCGGUAGGGGAGACUGGAAUUCCUGGUGUAGCGGUGAAAUGCGCAGAUAUCAGGAGGAACACCGGUGGCGAAGGCGGCGACCUGGGUCGAGACUGACGCUGAGGCGCGAAGCUAGGGGAGCAAACGGG
rnacentral:rRNA from 1 species